rnacentral:rRNA from 1 species
GACGAACGCUGGCGGCGUGCUUAACACAUGCAAGUCGAACGGAAAGGCCCUGCUUUUGUGGGGUGCUCGAGUGGCGAACGGGUGAGUAACACGUGAGUAACCUGCCCUUGACUUUGGGAUAACUUCAGGAAACUGGGGCUAAUACCGGAUAGGAGCUCCUGCUGCAUGGUGGGGGUGGGAAAGUGUCGGCGGUUGGGGAUGGACUCGCGGCUUAUCAGCUUGUUGGUGGGGUAGUGGCUUACCAAGGCUUUGACGGGUAGCCGGCCUGAGAGGGUGACCGGCCACAUUGGGACUGAGAUACGGCCCAGACUCCUACGGGAGGCAGCAGUGGGGAAUAUUGCACAAUGGGCGGAAGCCUGAUGCAGCAACGCCGCGUGCGGGAUGACGGCCUUCGGGUUGUAAACCGCUUUCGCCUGUGACGAAGCGUGAGUGACGGUAAUGGGUAAAGAAGCACCGGCUAACUACGUG